UAAUGUAACAAUACAUUGUAUUUCUGUUAG
rnacentral:piRNA from 1 species